rnacentral:misc_RNA from 1 species
AUUCACACGUCUCAGAACGUCUAUUGAUGGUAUAUAUUUGGGCCUUCUUGGGCGCAGAUGAUAUAUCCAUCAUCUUUUUUAACCCAUUUCAGCCACUGAAUCCCAAAAUUAUAAGCCGAUAAUGACUUCAUCUGUUGUUGGAGAUAUUAUCGUGUAACUCACGUAUAUGUGUGUCCAUCAUGCAGAGUGUGAAGUGAAGGUUCUCCCCCCUUCCUUCUUACGCAUCAUGGGUCAUAUAUAUACAUGAGGGGGGAGAGGGCGGCACGUUGUUCUAUAUUAUGUGACCAUUCCGAACACAUAUUAUCAUCAUGUUACCCGAGGCGGUAAUGUUGAGGGUACAACAAAUGAUAUAUUGUUGGCGUGGUUAUAGUAUAGAAGGAGCGUGCCUGGGCCAUCUUCUCCGGAAAAUGAGGAUGAGGCUUGGGGGACCUGCUGAUGAUGGAAUAAGCAGGUCGUGACAUAUGUCGCAGAGUAGGGCGUUCAAAUGUCUGUUCCCAUACAUAUACUACAUGCAUGUGUUGGGGAUGGCCUUGAGCGUCGUUACUCUAUUACACAUAUGCCGUGCUUCAUUUUAUCAUCAGCCAGGUCGUUACGCCUUUUUCCCUCUUUUCCUUCAUUUUUUUCCCACUUCGUAUUAUUCUAGUUGGGCAAGUAGGAGAAGAUAUCAAAAGUGGGUGAUUUUCUCCUCUUUCCUCCGAAUUGGGCUGCUACUGCCGACGAUAGCACUGAAGCAUUCUACAUGAAUGGUCAGUGUGUGUGGGUGUAGUGGUAUACCCAUGGGGAGGGGAGUAGGAUAUCUGUGUCACGUACUUCUGAUAUCAUAUUCCUCUGGCUCUCUCAUUUAUUAAUUCAGGUGGAAGGCAGUUGGAAUGUGUUGUGUGCGCUCGUGCGCGCCAUCGUUUCACCUCCCUUUCACCUCUAUAGUAGACCAAUAAGCCUACU